UACGUAGGUGGCAAGCGUUGUCCGGAUUUACUGGGCGUAAAGAGCGCGCAGGCGGUCGUUCAAGUCGCGUGUGAAAGCCCCCGGCUCAACUGGGGAGGGUCACGCGAUACUGAUCGACUCGAAGGCAGGAGAGGGUAGUGGAAUUCCCGGUGUAGUGGUGAAAUGCGCAGAUAUCAGGAAGAACACCGAUGGCGAAGGCAGCUCUCUGGGACGGUACUGACGCUGAGACGCGAAAGCGUGGGGAGCGAACAGG
rnacentral:rRNA from 1 species